UACGUAGGGGGCGAGCGUUAUCCGGAUUUAUUGGGCGUAAAGCGUGUGUAGGCGGUUUGUUAAGUUUGAGAUUAAAGCCCGGGGCUUAACCCCGGUUCGUCUCAAAAACUGGCAGACUUGAGUGUAGUAGAGGCAAGUGGAAUUUCUAGUGUAGCGGUUAAAUGCGUAGAUAUUAGAAGGAACACCAGUGGCGAAGGCGGCUUGCUGGGCUAUCACUGACGCUGAGACACGAAAGCGUGGGGAGCAAAUAGGAUUAGAUACCC
rnacentral:rRNA from 1 species